UGCAUGGAAAGUUCGACGUUUGCCCUAGACCUUAGACUAAUAUAUGUAGCUACAACAAAAAGCGCUAAUGAACCAACAAAAGGCAAAGAGCAAAGGAUUCUUGGAAGAUUCUUAUCAGCAUGUAUCUUUGAAAUGAGCUGAGGAAGGCGAAUUUGGAAGCCAAGAUAAAACGCGUUUCGAGGACUCAACAAAGAGAACAAACCAAACCUAAAGAGAUGUGAUGCUACAGAGGAGAGGAAACGAAGUACUGUUAGCUCUAGUGUUAAAAGCUGCAGGGAUCAGUAGUAUAACAAUUGCAAAGAGCACUUUAUCUUCCACGAGCUACCUCAGAACAUAACUCUGGUUUUUGACGAUGAUGAAUGCAUCAAUACUCAUUGUAGCCCUUGUGGCCUGUUUUGUCUUUUUGAGUGGCACUUCAAACGCGUGUACAAGUGACUCUCACUGUCCAGCAAGUUCGUGCUGUAUGGUCUCAGCUUGGUCCAGGAAGGAAGGUGUAUGCCGUGGUUUCUUAUCUGYUGGUGAAAUCUGCAUGUCUGGAAAUAACUGCCCAAGAUGUGGUCCUGGGUUGACAUGCAGCCAGAUGAUCCCCGCUCCGCCAAUAGGGACAUGCAAGAAUACAGGAAAGUGAAUACACUAAUCAUCUGACAAAACUGACUGGAUGCUGC